rnacentral:rRNA from 1 species
GACGAACGCUGGCGGCGUGCUUAACACAUGCAAGUCGAACGGAAAGGCCCUGCUUUUGUGGGGUGCUCGAGUGGCGAACGGGUGAGUAACACGUGAGUAACCUGCCCUUGACUUUGGGAUAACUUCAGGAAACUGGGGCUAAUACCGGAUAGGAGCUCCUGCUGCAUGGUGGGGGUUGGAAAGUUUCGGCGGUUGGGGAUGGACUCGCGGCGUAUCAGCUUGUUGGUGGGGUGGUGGCUGACCAAGGCUUUGACGGGUAGCCGGCCUGAGAGGGUGACCGGCCACAUUGGGACUGGGCUGCGGCCCAGACUCCUACGGGAGGCAGCAGUGGGGAAUAGUGCAAAAUGGGCGGAAGCCUGAUGCAGUAACGCCGCGUGCGGGAUGACGGCCUUCGGGUUGUAAACCGCUUUCGCCUGUGACGAAGCGUGAGUGACGGUAAUGGGUAAAGAAGCACCGGCUAACUACGUG